rnacentral:rRNA from 1 species
AUUGAACGCUGGCGGCAGGCCUAACACAUGCAAGUCGAACGGUAACAGGAGAAGCUUGCUUCUUUGCUGACGAGUGGCGGACGGGUGAGUAAUGUCUGGGAAACUGCCUGAUGGAGGGGGAUAACUACUGGAAACGGUAGCUAAUACCGCAUAACGUCGCAAGACCAAAGAGGGGGACCUUCGGGCCUCUUGCCAUCGGAUGUGCCCAGAUGGGAUUAGCUAGUAGGUGGGGUAACGGCUCACCUAGGCGACGAUCCCUAGCUGGUCUGAGAGGAUGACCAGCCACACUGGAACUGAGACACGGUCCAGACUCCUACGGGAGGCAGCAGUGGGGAAUAUUGCACAAUGGGCGCAAGCCUGAUGCAGCCAUGCCGCGUGUAUGAAGAAGGCCUUCGGGUUGUAAAGUACUUUCAGCGGGGAGGAAGGGAGUAAAGUUAAUACCUUUGCUCAUUGACGUUACCCGCAGAAGAAGCACCGGCUAACUCCGUG